rnacentral:lncRNA from 1 species
UCUUUACACAAGGAAAGAAGUUAGAAUUGAUUCUUUUAUUGGCUGCUUCAAGAAAGAUACUGAGCAGCAAAACAGAACAGAGGCUAGGACACCCUGACUAGGAGACACUGUGAGGUUCAAUCAAGCCUACUCACCAAGGAAGCAUUCUACUCCUGUCUGUGCUGCAUCUCCACUCUGCUCUCACGCUGAACACCAGCAGCCCCAUCCCGGGCUGCACACAGCACUGCACACAGCACCCCAAAUGUGUGGCUGUGGAUAAAGAUCCAGCUGCUGUGCUGUCACCCUUUAAUCGUGGAAAUAUCAGCAGUCAGCUGCAGGAAGCAAAGUGUCUGCCUGUAUAAGAAACAUGACAAUCCAUGGACAUAGUAGAUGAGGUAGUCACAACUUAAAUGUAAUUCCUAUGUACACACACAGCAUGGAAUCAAGCUGCCAAUCUUGUUAAACAAUGGCAGGGAACACUGUCCAGAAAUAAAUUUACACAG